UACGGAGGGUGCGCGCGUUGUCCGGAAUCACUGGGCGUAAAGGGCGCGUAGGCGGCCUGAUAAGUAGGGGGUGAAAUCCUGCGGCUUAACCGCAGGGCUGCCUUCUAAACUGUCAGGCUUGAGCACAGUAGAGGCAGGUGGAAUUCCCGGUGUAGCGGCGGAAUGCGUAGAGAUCGGGAAGAACAUCAGUGGCGAAGGCGGCCUGCUGGGCUGUUGCUGACGCUGAGGCGCGACAGCGUGGGGAGCAAACAGG
rnacentral:rRNA from 1 species